rnacentral:rRNA from 1 species
CCUACGGGUGGCUGCAGUGGGGAAUAUUGCACAAUGGGCGCAAGCCUGAUGCAGCCAUGCCGCGUGUGUGAAGAAGGCCUUCGGGUUGUAAAGCACUUUCAGCGGGGAGGAAGGCGUUAAGGUUAAUAACCUUGGCGAUUGACGUUACCCGCAGAAGAAGCACCGGCUAACUCCGUGCCAGCAGCCGCGGUAAUACGGAGGGUGCAAGCGUUAAUCGGAAUUACUGGGCAUAAAGCGCACGCAGGCGGUCUGUCAAGUCGGAUGUGAAAUCCCCGGGCUCAACCUGGGAACUGCAUUCGAAACUGGCAGGCUAGAGUCUUGUAGAGGGGGGUAGAAUUCCAGGUGUAGCGGUGAAAUGCGUAGAGAUCUGGAGGAAUACCGGUGGCGAAGGCGGCCCCCUGGACAAAGACUGACGCUCAGGUGCGAAAGCGUGGGGAGCAAACAGGAUUAGAUACCCGAGUAGUC